rnacentral:rRNA from 1 species
GACGAACGCUGGCGGCGUGCUUAACACAUGCAAGUCGAACGGAAAGGCCCUGCUUUUGUGGGGUGCUCGAGUGGCGAACGGGUGAGUAACACGUGAGUAACCUGCCCUUGACUUUGGGAUAACUUCAGGAAACUGGGGCUAAUACCGGAUAGGAGCUCCUGCUGCAUGGUGGGGGUUGGAAAGUUUCGGCGGUUGGGGAUGGACUCGCGGCUUAUCAGCUUGUUGGUGGGGUAGUGGCUUACCAAGGCUUUGACGGGUAGCCGGCCUGAGAGGGUGACCGGCCACAUUGGGACUGAGAUACGGCCCAGACUCCUACGGGAGGCAGCAGUGGGGAAUAUUGCACAAUGGGCGGAAGCCUGAUGCAGCAACGCCGCGUGCGGGAUGACGGCCUUCGGGUUGUAAACCGCUUUCGCCUGUGACGAAGCGUGAGUGACGGUAAUGGGUAAAGAAGCACCGGCUAACUACGUGCAAGCAGCCGCGGUGAUACGUAGGGUGCGAGCGUUGUCCGGAUUUAUUGGGCGUAAGGGCUCGUAGGUGGUUGAUCGCGUCGGAAGUGUAAUCUUGGGGCUUAACCCUGAGCGUGCUUUCGAUACGGGUUGACUUGAGGAAGGUAGGGGAGAAUGGAAUUCCUGGUGGAGCGGUGGAAUGCGCAGAUAUCAGGAGGAACACCAGUGGCGAAGGCGGUUCUCUGGGCCUUUCCUGACGCUGAGGAGCGAAAGCGUGGGGAGCGAACAGGCUUAGAUACCCUGGUAGUCCACGCUGUAAACGGUGGGUACUAGGUGUGGGGUCCAUUCCACGGGUUCCGUGCCGUAGCUAACGCUUUAAGUACCCCGCCUGGGGAGUACGGCCGCAAGGCUAAAACUCAAAGGAAUUGACGGGGCCCCGCACAAGCGGCGGAGCAUGCGGAUUAAUUCGAUGCAACGCGUAGAACCUUACCUGGGUUUGACAUGGAUCGGGAGUGCUCAGAGAUGGGUGUGCCUCUUUUGGGGUCGGUUCACAGGUGGUGCAUGGCUGUCGUCAGCUCGUGUCGUGAGAUGUUGGGUUAAGUCCCGCAACGAGCGCAACCCUUGUUCACUGUUGCCAGCACGUUAUGGUGGGGACUCAGUGGAGACCGCCGGGGUCAACUCGGAGGAAGGUGGGGAUGACGUCAAGUCAUCAUGCCCCUUAUGUCCAGGGCUUCACGCAUGCUACAAUGGCUGGUACAGAGAGUGGCGAGCCUGUGAGGGUGAGCGAAUCUCGGAAAGCCGGUCUCAGUUCGGAUUGGGGUCUGCAACUCGACCUCAUGAAGUCGGAGUCGCUAGUAAUCGCAGAUCAGCAACGCUGCGGUGAAUACGUUCCCGGG